AUUGAACGCUGGCGGCAUGCCUUACACAUGCAAGUCGAACGGUAACAGGUCUUCGGAUGCUGACGAGUGGCGAACGGGUGAGUAAUACAUCGGAACGUGCCCGAUCGUGGGGGAUAACGGGGCGAAAGCUUUGCUAAUACCGCAUACGAUCUACGGAUGAAAGCGGGGGAUCUUCGGACCUCGCGCGGACGGAGCGGCCGAUGGCAGAUUAGGUAGUUGGUGGGAUAAAAGCUUACCAAGCCGACGAUCUGUAGCUGGUCUGAGAGGAUGAUCAGCCACACUGGGACUGAGACACGGCCCAGACUCCUACGGGAGGCAGCAGUGGGGAAUUUUGGACAAUGGGCGAAAGCCUGAUCCAGCCAUGCCGCGUGCAGGAUGAAGGCCUUUGGGUUGUAAACUGCUUUUGUACGGAACGAAAAGCCUCUUUCUAAUAAAGAGGGGUCAUGACGGUACCGUAAGAAUAAGCACCGGCUAACUACGUG
rnacentral:rRNA from 1 species